rnacentral:rRNA from 1 species
GAUCCUGACUCAGGAUGAACGCUAGCGACAGGCUUAACACAUGCAAGUCGAGGGGCAUCAUGAGGUAGCAAUACCUUGAUGGCGACCGGCGCACGGGUGAGUAACGCGUAUGCAACCUGCCCGAUACCGGGGUAUAGCCCAUGGAAACGUGGAUUAACACCCCAUAGUACUUUUAUCCUGCAUGGGAUGUGAGUUAAAUGUUUAAGGUAUCGGAUGGGCAUGCGUCCUAUUAGUUAGUUGGG